GAAAUCGCUGUGAUAGUUAAACCUGAGACCAGAGGAUGGACGGGAUUCCUGCUGGAGCAUUAGAGCUUGCAUGAGGAGCGAGAUCUUGGAAUUUAUCGUAUUAUCAGCAUUUCUAAACAUUAGAAAAUCGGAAGCAAUGGCCCACUGUAGAGAUGGAUCCACUCAUGCCAUUUCCUGCUCAGCUGGUGUCCAGAAUGGAUGGAGCCUCAAUCCAUCGAACUCACAAAAAUGGUUGCCCUAGAACCAUUUUAUGGAGGAAAAAAUCACCUGUGACUACUACUGCAGGCAUUUGAAUGGAUCACGCCUUUCAGUGGAGAUGAGACAUCUCUCUUGUUUAUGAAAGCCAGGGAGAAAUGGAGACUGGGAGCUUGAAAGUGCUCCAUCUUGGGAUGACCUGAGGUCUUGAAUACAGCUGCAACUGGAAGCAAGUUUGGAGAUGCAAAAACAGCUUCUGAGGAAGAGAAUGCUUGAGACUGAUGCACUGAAGAAAGAACAAGAAGUCAGAAGCCAGAGAUAUGAGCUCAGGAGUACAUCAGAAAAUGACUGUUAGAUGGAAAUGUAAUGGAGAGCUGUGAAUUUCAGUGAAAAUACUGAAGGGAAGAAGAAGACAAAUUUCAAAAGAGCAAAUAGACAAAUGCCAAAAACAAGAACAAAACCAAAAAGCAUGGUGGGAAAUACGCAUACUAGAAAAGAAAAAUUGAGGAUCCUCCUUCUUAUCCCAAAAGGAGAAGAGAGGGGACAAAAAGGAAGGAGAGACCUUCUCCCCUGUUGCACACAGCAGGGCCAUGGGAUGCCGCUGGAUGCUGGUGAUUCCAUUUAUGCCAUCUGGCACAGUGCCCCACAUUACCCUCAGGUAACCAGCCCCACUGUCACCAUUCCUCACUUGCUACUCCAGAACAAGUUCCUGAUAAUGUUUAAGCAUGUUUAUAGACUUGACUCCAUAAUGCCCUGUUCUAGCUUUGUUUCUCUUUUCCUCUUUAAUCGUUUCAUUUGCUAUAUUGUUUGCCUUCUGACUCUACACUUUGCCACUGAGUUUUCAGCCUUUCAGCCUAGAGUUCCUAUUCUACUCUUUUCCUUCACUCAACUAUUCCAUUGCCUCAGAUAUAUUUUUCUUUUGUCUCCCCCUUCACUUCUUUUCCCUAAGAUUUACAAGCCCAUCUGUAGUCUUUGUUCAGUUAUCUGGUGUUGAGCAAGACUGAUGAUGUUUCAUUAAUCAUAUCCACUGGUCCUAGCAGUUACUCUUGCUAUUGCAUCCUUUCCUAUCUCUUAAUUUUUUCCUCUUGAAACAUGAAUACCAUUACUUGUACUUUACACUUUUUUUUACCUCUUGAGUGAGGCAAGGAAACAUGCUUCUCUGCUCCCAGAAAUGCCUCUCUCCUUUGUAGUAAUAUUCACUUUUUCUAGACUCUCUACAAUUGUUAUUUUUGUAGUGCUAAGAGGGAAAAGCAGAGCCUAUCUCAGUACUGUCAUUCAUGGAUACUUUUCUUGAUUGUCCUUUCUUUCAAGGAUCUGUACUAAGAUAUCCACUGUACUUGCAAAGAACUGACAUUCCUGUCUCAUCCCAUUCUAUUGCAGAAUUAUGGAAUUAUCAACUACUUCACAGAUUAUACAGUGCUAAGUUUGUAAUUCUCAUCAUUUCUCAUUUCUUCUAAAUCUGCACAAUUAUUUGUAAUAAAAAUCAACCUUGACACUGCAAGGUAGUCACCAUAUGUAUUCAUAUUAAAUUCGCAUUUCAGUUAUUGGAAGACAUGCCUGCCAGCUGAUCUUAAUGCAAUAAUUUAUCACUUUUUAUUAUAAUAAUACCUCAGGAUUCUUACAAAAGUCACUGUGCUGAACUGAUGAGCUAGGGAAGGAAGAAAUGGCCAGAAGUCCAGAAUGCCAACCUCCUCUGUAAAUUAGGACUGAUCUUUUUCACAUUGCUAAACUGACUGCUGCACUAGCCAUGUGGCUGAGUGACGACAGAACUUGUUCAAGUAGGCAAAUAUUCAGUCAGUUCUGUAUUAUAUGAGCUAGAAAGACAUUACAAAGACAUUGAGUGCAUCUACAAGGCUCUAUCAUUCUCUGUCUUAACUUUACCUACUAUGAUCUCUACCUUCUUCCCAGCUCUCUCUAGAAGCUGAACAUUUCAAAGUCUUCCAUGUAGCCUGUUUAGCAGGCUUUCUCACACAUAGUUCUGGCUACAUAAAAAUAUGUGUUAAUUACUAACAAGCGUGUCAGUAUAACCAUUACACAAGAAAACAUAAAAAUGGUAAAACAAACAAACAAAAAAAAAAAACCAUCCAGAUUUUCAAUUUAGUCUAUUUCAAGAAUAGAAAUAUUAUUCAAAAUUUACCUACUACAAAACAUUACUUCAUAUUAAUAUCAAUGAAUCAUUCUAAAAUAAAAAUAUAAUUAUAUAAGAACAGUGGAUCAUUCAGUUAGACUACAUGCAAUAAUAAACAACAAAGACCACAAAUAUGGUGGGACUAACUUGCCAAGUUGGCAGAAUAUUAUAUGUAAGCAUCCAAAAAGUGAAAGUGAUGUUUUCCGCUCUCUUUCCAUCUUCUGUUCUAACUGGGUGGUCCCAUAUCAUGACCCUGACAGCCUACACUGCUCAUUUGGGUAAGAGCAGGCAUGUCCGACUCGCAGCCAGCAUGCAGCCUGGCACAGCUGGCAAGGUCGCCUGGCCUCUGUCCUGUGAAACCUGUCCUCCACUGCUGCUGCAGCUCUGUCCCACUGCAUGGCCUGGCCCAGACACAGGAGUGCACCCAUCACUCAGCAACAACAAAACACCAGUGACCUAUUAAAACUGUCUGAGCUGAGACCAGGACAUGGGGAGGGCACAGUGCAGUGCUGACUCAAAUUAUAACAAAUAAUUGUAUGCAUUUUGGUUAGCUGGCUAAACACGGUCUUGUGAACAGCAAAAAAGUAUGCAGCCCUGCUUUCUGUUUUGAUAAAGGAACUUGAGAACAGGUUUUAAGAUAGCAAAAAAAAAAAAACCCAUAUUUUUUAAUGUAUUUGUAACUCCAUUUUCAGACUACCUAAAUACAUUACCUCUGACUUUUCACAUGGAGUGUAUAAAGUUGCAAUCAGACAUUCAACUCAAAAAUCUGACCAUGUUGCUUUAUUUUUAUGAGACCUAUCCUGUCAGAUAAAACCAUCCCUCUCUUCACAAUAGCACCAUACUCAUGUCAUUGCUUUUUGGCAGUAUGUAUAUUUGUGAACAACUAUUUCCAAGGAUGAAAUACAGGAAGAAUAAUACUUCACCAAAAAAUCUGUGAUGAACACCUUGAGAACUCACCAAGAAUAGCAGUCACUACCAUCAAACCAGACUGAUGCAUUAAUUUAAAAAUCAGUGCCACAUAUCCUGUUUGUUCUGUUUUUGUUGCAUUCUUUGUUUUAAUAAAAAUAUUUAUAAGAUUAU
rnacentral:lncRNA from 1 species